CAGUGUGUGCCAUUGUUAUGAAUGUGGAUAGAGGGUGCCCAAAGAAGGUGUUGGCAGCCAAGAGAGCUGAGCUGUAAAAGGGGACAUCUUGAAGAGAAGUGGCUACAGGUAGCGAACCAGCUAUUUGGUCAUCACCUAUGAGGCAAGCAUGUGAGCGUAAGAGGAAUCUGGGAGCUGAAUCGAAAAGGUGAUAGGUCGGAAACAGAGACAGGCACAUCAAGUGCUUUCCUUCUUCCGUGUAGUGAAAGACCGAGGGAAUUGUUGGUUAAGCGGGUGCGUGCGAAGGUUUGAGAAAGGGUACAGGACAGUAACGAUAGUACUGAAGCAGGAUAAAAACAAGGCUUCAUGGAAGAUGGCGUAGAGCUAGAACCAACGAUAGUAAAUGCUGACGGAGAGGAAAGCUGGACAAGCGGUCUUUUUGUGAUUAAUACCUAAGGGACGAAGUGAAUGAAACGAGGAAGCAAAAAUGCAGUAGACCCCUGAUAUCCCCAGCAACUGCUGCAGAAGGAGGUGUUCUGCCACGGGCAAGUAAGAUAGAAAGGGAAGGAUACAAUACUUACACUUUCAGACGAAUUGCCACGGCUGAAGUUGAAGAGACCAGAAAAACGUAAGCAAGCUGAGGUGCGAAAACCACGUGGAACCAGCCAAGAGCCGUCUCCGUCUCCCACAAACAAAAGCCCGUCCUUCCUGACUAGGAAGGCUCACUGUUAGUAGCGAUCGAAAUAAUAGAUCACAGACGUAUAACGAAGGUCUGUCCGCCUUACAGCAAGUAUGCUACAGAUGGUUUUACCUGCCGCCUCGGGGGCUGCGGCGGGAGCUGACCCUUCCCCAACGGACGGACGGACGGUCGGACAGACGGACGCUGGCGUGGCGAUGACUCUUCAGGUGUCACGGGGUAAGGGGAAGCGUGCCGGCACCGAGCUCCAUGGCAGGCUCGCUCCCAGGUGGUGUUUCUGCCCAGUAAAACAAUAAACAGCCGCUUUAUUCUU